UCUACACUAACUUGCAUAAUUAUUCAAUUGAUCCAACUAGUUUCCUAAAAUCCUCUGUUCUCAAAUGAAGACUGAUGGACUCCCAAGUUGCCAAAAACAAAACAAAGCAAAAAAAAAACCCACUACAAUUUUCCACUUGAGUAUUGAUUAUACAGUACAGACCAAAAACUCUCCAACCACCUCCAUUUGCAAGGCAGAGAACAAAAGCACAACUGUAUCUAAUAUUGAGAAGGGUAGGGACCAAUAAUGUUUCUCAGUAAAUCUGGCAGGAGAAACAUUCCAAAUUCUCACGGGCUGGCC